CAUGUGCGAGUGUAAUUUACAACAGACCUCAACUUCCCUGCUUUCUUUUUUUUUGCAUUUUCUGCUGUGAAUCAUGGGGAGUAUGGUGGUGGUGUUACUCUGGGUCUGGAUUAUCCUGCAUUCUGGUGUGUGUUCAUUUUCACUGCCAGAAAUCACUGAUAGGAAUUUCAUCGAUGAAUGUGUGGAGCAACACAACAGGGCACGAUCAUCUGUCAGUCCGCCUGCAAACGACAUGCUGCACAUGACAUGGGAUCAGGGCUUAGCCAUUACUGCAAGGGCGUGGGCGAAACACUGUGCAUUUGAGCACAACAUUCACCUCAAAGAUGUCCGUCACAUGCACCCUACCUUUACCUCUGUGGGAGAAAACAUAUGGACAGCCUACCCACCAUCAGAAUUUACUCCAGCAAAUGCCUUAAAGAGUUGGGUGGAAGAAGUCAAUUUCUACAACUACGAACGGAACAACUGCAUCAAAAUUUGUGGGCACUACACACAGGUUGUGUGGGCGAGCAGCUACAAAGUUGGAUGUGCUGUACAGCUGUGCCCAAAUGGCGUCCGUUUAUUUACUCAAGAUGAAGGUGUCCUCUUUGUAUGCAACUACGCCACAGCGGGUAAUAUAAAUGGAAUGCAACCAUAUUCUAAAGGGCCAGCCUGCUCUGGAUGCAAUGGCACUUGCGUGAAACAGCUCUGUAAUCUUACUGGGGAGGCUAAGGCGUGAUAUCCCCAGAUAGUUGGAACACACUCUCCCUUCUUAAAGAUGGGGACCACCACCCCAGAUCUCCAUGAGACAUUGCAGAGGCCUUUCAACCAAGACAGCCCUACAACAUCCAGAGCCUUCAGAAGCUCAGGGUGAAUCUUGUCCACCCCAGGGGCCCUGCCACGAAGGAGUUGUUUAACCACCUCAAUGACUUCAUUCACCCGCAGUGAUGGGCUUGUCAUCCCUGUCACUGUCACGUGGUUGAUGGCUCCCUUCACCUCUGGUGACCACCAUCUGGUUUUGGAAUUACCACCACAACAGGCACCAACCACCUUGUGUCCGCAGCUCUGAGCAGCAACCUCACUAUACAUUUAGGUGUACCAGGUAGUCCCGAACGGGAUUCACAGAAAAGCUACAACUGGACCCCAGACUGGGACGUCUCAGUGUCCAGCAGCUCCAGCUCCAACUAUAUCAGUAUUCUGAUUGUCCGGCCCAUCGCCCUC